rnacentral:rRNA from 1 species
UAAGCGACUAAGCGUACACGGUGGAUGCCCUGGCAGUCAGAGGCGAUGAAGGACGUGCUAAUCUGCGAUAAGCGUCGGUGAGGUGAUAUGAACCGUUAUAACCGGCGAUUUCCGAAUGGGGAAACCCAGUGUGUUUCGACACACUAUCAUUAACUGAAUCCAUAGGUUAAUGAGGCGAACCGGGGGAACUGAAACAUCUAAGUACCCCGAGGAAAAGAAAUCAACCGAGAUUCCCCCAGUAGCGGCGAGCGAACGGGGAGGAGCCCAGAGCCUGAAUCAGUGUGUGUGUUAGUGGAAGCGUCUGGAAAGGCGCGCGAUACAGGGUGACAGCCCCGUACACAAAAAUGCACAUAUUGUGAGCUCGAUGAGUAGGGCGGGACACGUGGUAUCCUGUCUGAAUAUGGGGGGACCAUCCUCCAAGGCUAAAUACUCCUGACUGACCGAUAGUGAACCAGUACCGUGAGGGAAAGGCGAAAAGAACCCCGGCGAGGGGAGUGAAAAAGAACCUGAAACCGUGUACGUACAAGCAGUGGGAGCCUCUUAAUGGGGUGACUGCGUACCUUUUGUAUAAUGGGUCAGCGACUUAUAUUCUGUAGCAAGGUUAACCGAAUAGGGGAGCCGAAGGGAAACCGAGUCUUAACUGGGCGUUAAGUUGCAGGGUAUAGACCCGAAACCCGGUGAUCUAGCCAUGGGCAGGUUGAAGGUUGGGUAACACUAACUGGAGGACCGAACCGACUAAUGUUGAAAAAUUAGCGGAUGACUUGUGGCUGGGGGUGAAAGGCCAAUCAAACCGGGAGAUAGCUGGUUCUCCCCGAAAGCUAUUUAGGUAGCGCCUCGUGAAUUCAUCUCCGGGGGUAGAGCACUGUUUCGGCAAGGGGGUCAUCCCGACUUACCAACCCGAUGCAAACUGCGAAUACCGGAGAAUGUUAUCACGGGAGACACACGGCGGGUGCUAACGUCCGUCGUGAAGAGGGAAACAACCCAGACCGCCAGCUAAGGUCCCAAAGUCAUGGUUAAGUGGGAAACGAUGUGGGAAGGCCCAGACAGCCAGGAUGUUGGCUUAGAAGCAGCCAUCAUUUAAAGAAAGCGUAAUAGCUCACUGGUCGAGUCGGCCUGCGCGGAAGAUGUAACGGGGCUAAACCAUGCACCGAAGCUGCGGCAGCGACACUAUGUGUUGUUGGGUAGGGGAGCGUUCUGUAAGCCUGUGAAGGUGUACUGUGAGGUAUGCUGGAGGUAUCAGAAGUGCGAAUGCUGACAUAAGUAACGAUAAAGCGGGUGAAAAGCCCGCUCGCCGGAAGACCAAGGGUUCCUGUCCAACGUUAAUCGGGGCAGGGUGAGUCGACCCCUAAGGCGAGGCCGAAAGGCGUAGUCGAUGGGAAACAGGUUAAUAUUCCUGUACUUGGUGUUACUGCGAAGGGGGGACGGAGAAGGCUAUGUUGGCCGGGCGACGGUUGUCCCGGUUUAAGCGUGUAGGCUGGUUUUCCAGGCAAAUCCGGAAAAUCAAGGCUGAGGCGUGAUGACGAGGCACUACGGUGCUGAAGCGACAAAUGCCCUGCUUCCAGGAAAAGCCUCUAAGCAUCAGGUAACAUCAAAUCGUACCCCAAACCGACACAGGUGGUCAGGUAGAGAAUACCAAGGCGCUUGAGAGAACUCGGGUGAAGGAACUAGGCAAAAUGGUGCCGUAACUUCGGGAGAAGGCACGCUGAUAUGUAGGUGAAGCGACUUGCUCGUGGAGCUGAAAUCAGUCGAAGAUACCAGCUGGCUGCAACUGUUUAUUAAAAACACAGCACUGUGCAAACACGAAAGUGGACGUAUACGGUGUGACGCCUGCCCGGUGCCGGAAGGUUAAUUGAUGGGGUUAGCGGUAACGCGAAGCUCUUGAUCGAAGCCCCGGUAAACGGCGGCCGUAACUAUAACGGUCCUAAGGUAGCGAAAUUCCUUGUCGGGUAAGUUCCGACCUGCACGAAUGGCGUAAUGAUGGCCAGGCUGUCUCCACCCGAGACUCAGUGAAAUUGAACUCGCUGUGAAGAUGCAGUGUACCCGCGGCAAGACGGAAAGACCCCGUGAACCUUUACUAUAGCUUGACACUGAACAUUGAGCCUUGAUGUGUAGGAUAGGUGGGAGGCUUUGAAGUGUGGACGCCAGUCUGCAUGGAGCCGACCUUGAAAUACCACCCUUUAAUGUUUGAUGUUCUAACGUGGGCCCCUUACCGGGGUUGCGGACAGUGUCUGGUGGGUAGUUUGACUGGGGCGGUCUCCUCCUAAAGAGUAACGGAGGAGCACGAAGGUUGGCUAAUCCUGGUCGGACAUCAGGAGGUUAGUGCAAUGGCAUAAGCCAGCUUGACUGCGAGCGUGACGGCGCGAGCAGGUGCGAAAGCAGGUCAUAGUGAUCCGGUGGUUCUGAAUGGAAGGGCCAUCGCUCAACGGAUAAAAGGUACUCCGGGGAUAACAGGCUGAUACCGCCCAAGAGUUCAUAUCGACGGCGGUGUUUGGCACCUCGAUGUCGGCUCAUCACAUCCUGGGGCUGAAGUAGGUCCCAAGGGUAUGGCUGUUCGCCAUUUAAAGUGGUACGCGAGCUGGGUUUAGAACGUCGUGAGACAGUUCGGUCCCUAUCUGCCGUGGGCGCUGGAGAACUGAGGGGGGCUGCUCCUAGUACGAGAGGACCGGAGUGGACGCAUCACUGGUGUUCGGGUUGUCAUGCCAAUGGCACUGCCCGGUAGCUAAAUGCGGAAGAGAUAAGUGCUGAAAGCAUCUAAGCACGAAACUUGCCCCGAGAUGAGUUCUCCCUGACUCCUUGAGAGUCCUGAAGGAACGUUGAAGACGACGACGUUGAUAGGCCGGGUGUGUAAGCGCAGCGAUGCGUUGAGCUAACCGGUACUAAUGAACCGUGAGGCUUAACCU